rnacentral:tRNA from 1 species
UGCCCUAUUGUGUAAUGGUAGCACAGCAGAUUCUGGUUCUGUAUGUCUGGGUUCGAGUCCUAGUGGGGCAA